UACGAAGGGGGCUAGCGUUGCUCGGAAUCACUGGGCGUAAAGGGUGCGUAGGCGGGUCUUUAAGUCAGGGGUGAAAUCCUGGAGCUCAACUCCAGAACUGCCUUUGAUACUGAAGAUCUUGAGUUCGGGAGAGGUGAGUGGAACUGCGAGUGUAGAGAUGAAAUUCGUAGAUAUUCGCAAGGACACCAGUGGCGAAGGCGGCUCACUGGCCCGAUACUGACGCUGAUGCACGAAAGCGUGGGGAGCAAACAGG
rnacentral:rRNA from 1 species